GUGGUCGAUUCGGCAGCACAUUUACUGAAAUUGGAACAGUACAGAGAUUAGCAUGGCCCCUGCGCAAGAAUGCCACGCAAAUCGUAAAGCGUUCCAUAUUUUC